UACCAGCACCCCGAGUGGUCGGGACGAUUAUUGGGCCUAAAGCAUCCGUAGCCGGUCAUGCAAGUCCUCCGUUAAAUCCACCUGCUUAACAGAUGGGCUGCGGAGGAUACUACAAGGCUAGGAGGCGGAAGAGGCAAGCGGUACUCAGUGGGUAGGGGUAAAAUCCUCUGAUCCAUUGAAGACCACCAGUGGCGAAGGCGGCUUGCCAAUACGCGCUCGACGGUGAGGGAUGAAAGCUGGGGGGAGCAAACCGGG
rnacentral:rRNA from 1 species